CAGCCGGUGUAAAGGAGCUGCGGCCAGCAGCACCACUCUCACCUGGGACAGAUCACAUCAGGGUGGACGAGACGAUAAUGCUGGAGUUCCAGGAAUACUACUCAUCACUGCAGCAGCAGCAGCAGCAGCAGCAGCAGCAGGAACAUUGGUCAUCCUACCAUCAGGAGGUCUGUUGGAGGUGGCCACCACCACCACUCCGGUCUUAAACAGCGUCUCAAACAGCUGCUUCAGGAUCAUGGCAUCAGCAACGUCGGUCACCUGAAGGAAGAAGACCAGAAAAGAAGGAAAAAGCAGGCUCCUAUCUCUUGUAAUGAGGAGUGAACUGCACAUGAGACCUGGACAGGAAGUAUGUCACCUCUCAGCAAAUGUAAACAGCACAGAACUUUUACACUUUUAUAUUGUUACUGCAGACACACGUGCCUGAUGAGGCAUCACAGACUACAAGAUUUGUCAAAACAACUGAAGCCAACUGAUUGCAUCAAACUCUCGCAAGAACGACCAUGUCUACAAGAACGACAGUUUUGAUAUUCCCGCUGCUUCCUGUCGUCUCCGUCUUCUGACGUUAAAUCCUGUGUCCCACCUCCUUUUUUUCCAUUGGCUGUUGAACACAUGUGUUUGUAGUUGGGUUUGUAGAACACAACACAUACCUCUGUUACCUCAGCAACCAGUUCACCACCUCCGUUUCCAGCUGUGGUAUCGUGGGCCUCUUCAUCCCUCUGAGGUUUACUGUUGUCAUCCUUUGUGUGCGGUUUUGGAGGAGGUGAGCUCAGGUACUUGCUGUUACUGUACAUAUUCAGGAUAUGUUGCAGCUGAGUCAGCCGCUGGAGGACGUAUCGCUGCUGAGCAUCUUCCCUCAGGGAGCCACAGCGGACGAGGCGGUCAUAGUGCUCAAUCACAUCUGCAGCUGAGGACUCAGAGGAGCAGGAUGGUGUGAAUGAACUGCACGUCCUCCAACUGGUGUAACCUUGAAGCAUGUCAACAAAAGACACGUGUGGAUCCACAUAAAUUAAAUCAUACACCAAAAUAAAUGGUACUUUUAUUAUUAUUAGCUAAAAAUGCUACUUUAAUACAGGGGUUAUUGGUGUAGGCAGCAUAGUUAUCAAACCUGUGUUACAACACGUUGUGACAGCGCAAAUUAUACACCAUUGUCCACAAUAUGUCAGAAAGACGCUUACCUUUUCCCCUGUAACUAGAAGACAGCCGACAAAUGUUCGUUGAGGUAAAAACUGUGUCUCUAACAAAUAUAUUCACUGAGCAUCUGACAGCUGCAGUCGCGGAGCAAGCCGCCAUGUUGAUUCAAAACGCGGAAGCUUUAUUGAGUUGCCUUGACACUUACAGUACAGGCUGGGUACAGGAAUGCAUGUGUUUUAAAGGUCCAGCGUGAAUUCGUAGCCUCCGAUUAGGUUGUUAAGGGGAAAGUUACGGGAAACUUGACUUACUCAGCUGCUCCGUUUGUUUUACUUCUUACCACUGUGACCGUGCAUUUUAGGCAUUUGAAAUAAACUUUAAUGUUGUCUGCCCCUGC